UACGUAGGGUGCGAGCGUUGUCCGGAAUUACUGGGCGUAAAGAGCUCGUAGGUGGUUUGUCGCGUUGUUCGUGAAAACUCACAACUCAAUUGUGGGCGUGCGGGCGAUACGGGCAGACUUGAGUACUGCAGGGGAGACUGGAAUUCCUGGUGUAGCGGUGGAAUGCGCAGAUAUCAGGAGGAACACCAGUGGCGAAGGCGGUGCGCUGGGCCGAAACUGACGCUGAGGAGCGAAAGCGUGGGUAGCAAACAGG
rnacentral:rRNA from 1 species